rnacentral:rRNA from 1 species
CGGGAGAUAGCUGGUUCUCCCCGAAAGCUAUUUAGGUAGCGCCUCGUGAAUUCAUCUCCGGGGGUAGAGCACUGUUUCGGCAAGGGGGUCAUCCCGACUUACCAACCCGAUGCAAACUGCGAAUACCGGAGAAUGUUAUCACGGGAGACACACGGCGGGUGCUAACGUCCGUCGUGAAGAGGGAAACAACCCAGACCGCCAGCUAAGGUCCCAAAGUCAUGGUUAAGUGGGAAACGAUGUGGGAAGGCCCAGACAGCCAGGAUGUUGGCUUAGAAGCAGCCAUCAUUUAAAGAAAGCGUAAUAGCUCACUGGUCGAGUCGGCCUGCGCGGAAGAUGUAACGGGGCUAAACCAUGCACCGAAGCUGCGGCAGCGACACUAUGUGUUGUUGGGUAGGGGAGCG